GGGGGUGACUGGUUUCGACUUCGUACGUGGAGACAGGGGAAGCGAGCCGAGGAAGCCGACGUCGUCUCGAGAAUCGGUCGUCGGAAACUUAUAAGCGCCGAUACCAAUCGCGCUGACUACGCUCUCGCCGCCUGAGGCAAGUAGCGUGUCUGUCGGACCGGGAGCGCCUCCGUCCCGGAUCACCGGCAUCAGCUAGGAGGCUGGUCAAUCGGUCCCAGUCGUGAGGACCCUGCGACGAGAUUAAACACGACUGGCCCCGUCAUACCGACUUGCUCAUGUGAUCGGUAGGGGCGAGUAGAGGCAUAGUGAGCUGCGCUCGGAGAAGCCCUGACAAAACAACGAAGGACCCGGGUUCGAUUCCCGGCACCUCCAC
rnacentral:tmRNA from 1 species